UCAACUUCAAGUUUUCAUAUUCCUUCCUGUAACAACCACCAAUAAUAUACUUGGAAAAGCAGCACCAAAAGAACAAAAAAAAAGGAAAAAAAAUCAUCCAUCAAAUCCUGAACCAGGCGUGGAAGAGGGAAAAAUUAAAUCAGAUCGAUGCAGCAAACUUACAUUUUCACUCACUAGUUGUUUUUCACAAGUGGCCAUUUUUCCUCCAAACUCCAGAAGAAAUCCAAGACAAAAACGAAAAAUGGAACAAUAAAUCACCAAAUAGAUACAAAAAAGAAAGUAAAUAAAUAUCUAAAAGCUAGCUAAUCAUCAAUUAUUCAUCAUCUCAGACCAUAUUAAAAGUUUUUCUUGUGAUUAAAAAUAAAAAAUCAAUGAUAAAACAGAGACAUUAAUCAUGGAAAGAAAGGGGAAGAAAAGUACCAUAUAUCUGCAUUCUAGAAAUUCACAUCAGAUAGUGGAGAUGAAAUAUUGACCUUCCCCGUCCUUACUGUUUCACAAAAGGGCACGACAGAGAUGAGAAAAAAAAAAGAUUUGUUGCUUUUAGCCAAUGAAAUGGAAAUAUCAGGAAAAUGAUAGGAAAACAGAAAAAAUUAGCCCUAACUACUCAAGGGAGGGAGGAAGAUGAAGAAGAACAAGAGGGAGAACUGGGAGAAACCAGGAGUGGAAGGGGAAGAAGAUUACCAGCCCUUUUCUGUCUCGAGCCCAUCGUCCAUCAAAUCCUAAGCAACCACUCUGCAGAAGGAAAAAUCCGGACCCUCCAAUUGAGAUUACAAUCUCUUCCAAGUUCAAUCAAAUGCCAGAAAUUGAGGGGAGACCUCUGGGUCUCAUAAAAAAAAUGGAGUUUUGUCCAGAGGACAAAAGCAAAGAAAAGCUCUUGACAUCGAUUGAUGCUGCUAUGUUUUGAAAGACAGAGAAAGAAGAAAGAAG
rnacentral:lncRNA from 1 species